GAAAUUUAAAAGCAGAAAGAAUGUUGUCCAAGACUUACUUCCAGAUUCUAUGCGUCAUAUGUGUGACUGGCAUAAUCUGUGCUGUAACAACGGAUUCUUCAGCUACCGUGACUUCUUCUUCCCCAGAUGUUACAUCUGAUGCCCCCGCUGUUGCCACUUCAG